GCGCUCCUACGGGGGGCAGCAGUGAGGAAUAUUGGUCAAUGGGCGCGAGCCUGAACCAGCCAAGUCGCGUGAGGGAAGACGGUCCUAUGGAUUGUAAACCUCUUUUGUCGGGGAGCAAAAGACGCCACGUGUGGCGUUCCGAGAGUACCCGAAGAAAAAGCAUCGGCUAACUCCGUGCCAGUAGCCGCGGUAAUACGGAGGAUGCGAGCGUUAUCCGGAUUUAUUGGGUUUAAAGGGUGCGCAGGCGGGAGAUCAAGU
rnacentral:rRNA from 1 species